UGUUGUCUCUGCUGAAGGGGUACAAGAAUUUGCAAGUGGGAAAUGCCCUGUGGGAAUUUCACUUCAUAGCCUAAUUGCUCAGUGAUACAGACAAGGUGAAAACCUGUUUAAUGAGCCAAACUGUGUAGUCCAGGUACUGAUGACUUGGUGGCGGCACCCUGAAAGACACUGGUAUUCAGAACUUAAAGAAAAGAUAAAUUACUGUGCAUCAGCUUAUCAUGCAAUGCAUUUCAACACAAGGCAUUAGAAGGAGCCUUUGGAUGUACUCACCUGAUCCAGGGCAAGAGCAACUACAAACAACAGUGACCAAGACUCUCAGACGUGGUGUGAUAUCCAUUAAUGCUGUCACACAACAAACUUGGGAGCUGACAAUAUGAAAGCAAUGCCAACAGCAAAUUACCCCAAUAACAAGAACAGAAGAAAAUCCUUCUGCAAAAUAUGGCCAGGACGCAGCAUCACUUCCCACGAGCAGCUGCUCUGGCUGCUUAAUCCCUCUGUGGAAGUGCUGCCUCCAGGGCCUGCAUCCCCCAGAGCAGAUCCCUGCGUGGCGCUGCUCCGGAGCAGCGUGGGAGCCGCGGGCUGAGCACAGCAGCGGAACCGAGCACCUGGGUCCAGGGGGAGCUGCUUCGUGGAGCUACAGCAAGAUUGCACCUGAGUUCUCUGUGCUGCUGAUUCGCAGGCAACAAAAUAAAGAACUGAAAAAUUUAUCAAUUCUGUGACAGAGUCCUUAUAUAAUACACAAUGUGGACAUUUCAGAGUUGGACUGAUUUGUAAAAGCAAUUUGAAUAUCAAUAGGCAGUAAUUUCAAGAAUUCAGUGGAACAGCACCUAUUGGAAAAGGUUAAAAAAUGGUGAAUGCCGUCGUGUCUUAGUGAUGGAUAUCUGACAUGUUUGUGCCAUACUUGCUUGUCUUUCCUGAUGUGUCACUUUGAAACUAUGACCCAGGCAGUGGAACGUGGAAAGCAGAUACCUAAAUACAUGGAAGCAUAUUACAGGAGUUCCAAAGCUUCCUGAGAAGUGACUGACCUUUCUAACUCUUGGAGUAUGUGCACUUAAUUGAAAAGUUCUCCCCUCGAUAUCUUUUCUCUAAACAAUGGAAAAAAUAUCUAUGUUAAACAGAAUCCCAUCCAGGUAUGUGUGUAAACUUGAGAGAAGAAUGCAAGGGAGUU